GGAGGAAAAGAAACUAACUAGGAUUCCCUUAGUAGCUGCGAGCGAAUAGGGAAAAGCCCAGCACCGAAUCUUGCGGCCGGCACCGGUCGCCGAGAAAUGUGGUGUUAGGGAGGGUCCGUUUAACUCGAGACGAUACGUCGCGUCCAAGUCCUUCUUGAACGGGGCCACAGCCCAUAGAGGGUGCCAGGCCCGUAGCGACCGACGUUCGUAGCGAGUGGAUCUCUCCUCAGAGUCGGGUUGCUUGAGAGUGCAGCCCUAAGUGGGUGGUAAACUCCAUCUAAGGCUAAAUAUGACCACGAGACCGAUAGCGAACAAGUACCGUGAGGGAAAGUUGAAAAGCACUUUGAAGAGAGAGUUCAAGAGUACGUGAAACCGUUUAGGGGUAAACCUGAGAAACCCGAAAGGUCGAAGGGAGAAAUUCAUUCGCGUUUCGGUCGAUGGCGUACACGACGUCCGAGCUACGAAUCGUCUUCGGGCGAGGCGAGCCUCACGUUUGUCGUACCGUCUCCGAACGCGUGCACUUUUCUCCUGGUAGGACGUCGCGAUCCGUUGGGCGUCGGUUUAAGCUUUGCGGUGGAGCUCUGGAGCGUGGCCUUUACGGGUCGUGUUCUAGAACCCGCGAUACCCGACCGGCACGCUCGACGGUAUAACGAUGGCGCGAGGCCGCUAUUAUUAAUAGCGUCCGACCCGUGGCAAGCGCGCCGAUCGCGUCGGUGACCGGACCUAGUGCCGAUCCUGACCGCCGGUGACUGUUGGCCGCGGUGUUCUCGGACAGACUUCGAAUACGCCGAUCUGCGACGCUUUAGCUUUGGGUACUUUCAGGACCCGUCUUGAAACACGGACCAAGGAGUCUAGCAUGUGCGCGAGUCAUUGGGACAUAAUUAAACCUAAAGGCGUAAUGAAAGUAAAGGUUUGCCUUGCGCAAACUUAGGGAAGAUGGGCGGUUUGCCGUUAAAAGUGGCCGCCCCGCAUUCCCGGGGCGUUUCGUUCUCAUCGCGAGAUGAGGCGCACCAAGAGCGUACACGCUGGGACCCGAAAGAUGGUGAACUAUGCCUGGUCAGGACGAAGUCAGGGGAAACCCUGAUGGAGGUCCGUAGCGAUUCUGACGUGCAAAUCGAUCGUAGGAACUGGGUAUAGGGGCGAAAGACUAAUCGAACCAUCUAGUAGCUGGUUCCCUCCGAAGUUUCCCUCAGGAUAGCUGGCGCUCGUAGCGUACGAGUCUCAUCCGGUAAAGCGAAUGAUUAGAGGCAUUGGGGUCGAAACGACCUCAACCUAUUCUCAAACUUUAAAUGGGUGAGAUCUCCGGCUUGCUCGAACUCAUGAAGCCGCGAGACACGGAUCAGAGUGCCAAGUGGGCC
rnacentral:rRNA from 1 species